UUCCUUGGAGCAUGAGCUUAAUGCGUUUGGUUUCGGCCCGAAAGAUUAAGAGGG
rnacentral:tRNA from 1 species